rnacentral:rRNA from 1 species
AGAGAGAGACAUGCGCGCAUAUCAAUAAGCGGAGGAAAAGAAACUAACUAGGAUUCCCUCAGUAACGGCGAGUGAAGCGGGAAGAGCUCAAAUUUGAAAUCUUCAAGGUUCUACCUUGACGAAUUGUAGUUUAAAGAAGUGUUUUCUGUUGAAGUUUUGGUAAAAGUUCUUUGGAAUAGGACAUCAUAGAGGGUGAGAAUCCCGUAUUUGACCAUUAUUUUCAGCUGUGUGAUACACUUUCAAAGAGUCGGAUUGUUUGGGAAUGCAGUCCAAAAUGGGUGGUAAAUUUCAUCUAAAGCUAAAUAUUGGCGAGAGACCGAUAGCGAACAAGUACCGUGAGGGAAAGAUGAAAAGAACUUUGAAAAGAGAGUUAAACAGUACGUGAAAUUGUCAAAAGGGAAGCGUUUGACAGCCAGUGUUGUUUUCUCGAAAAUCAAUUAAAAAAGGCAGGAUUUUGUGUUGUAUUGACUUUAUCAGCUUUCUGCACUCUUUUCUUGUCUUUUUUAAUGCACUUUUCGUUUAACAAGUCAACAUCAAUUUCUUUUGUUGUAAAAGGGUCAUUGGAAGGUGGCUUUCUUUUCGGAGAAAGUGUUUAUAGGCCUUUGGCCUCUGCAAUCGGAGAGAUUGAGGUCUGCAGCGUAGAUCCUUCGGGGCUAGAUACAUUUGUGCUAAGUUAUAGCCUUUCAUAGACAACUUGUUGACUAUGAUCAGUCAUGUAGCUUACUCGCUUAUGUUAUUUUACCUACGCUUAGGAUGUUGAUGUGAUACUGCGAGCA